rnacentral:rRNA from 2 species
CUAGUUUGUAAGAGCAUUCGGUGAAUGCCUUGGUACCAGAAGCCGAAGAAGGACGUUGUAGCCUGCGAUAUGCCUCGGGGAGUUGGCAAACGAGCUGUGAUCCGAGGGUGUCCGAAUGGGGAAACCUGGCCAGAGUUGUGUCUGGUUACCAGCGCUUGAAUUGAUAGGGCGUUGGGGGGAACGCGGGGAAGUGAAACAUCUUAGUACCCGUAGGAAGAGAUAUUCCGUGAGUAGUGGCGAGCGAAAGCGGAGGAGGCUAAACUGCGUGCGUGUGAUACCCGGCAGGGGUUGCGUGCGUGGGGUUGUGGGGCCUGUUGUCAUCAUGCUGCCGCGUGGUGGGCAAGUGAGAAAGCUGUGGUGUAGUCGAAGGGUCUGGGAAGGCCUGGCGUAGUGGGUGAUACCCCCGUAGGCGAAAUGCUGCAGUCUUGCUAGAUAGUGUUCCCAAGUAGGACGGGGCCCGUGAAAUCCCGUGUGAAUCUGCCCAGACCACUGGGUAAGCCUAAAUACUUUCUGGUGACCGAUAGUGGAUAGUACCGUGAGGGAAUGGUGAAAAGUACCCCGGGAGGGGAGUGAAAUAGUACCUGAAACCGGAUGCUUACAAUCCGUCAGAGCCUCCUUGGUUGGGGUGAUGGCGUGCCUUUUGAAGAAUGAGCCUGCGAGUUAGUGGCAUGUGGCGAGGUUAACCCGUGUGGGGUAGCCGUAGCGAAAGCGAGUGUGAAGAGCGCGCCAAAGUCGCAUGUUCUAGACCCGAAGCGAAGUGAUCUACCCAUGGGCAGGUUGAAGCGAUGGUAAGACGUCGUGGAGGACCGAACCCACCUAGGUUGAAAACUGGGGGGAUGACCUGUGGGUAGGGGUGAAAGGCCAAUCAAACUUCGUGAUAGCUGGUUCUCCCCGAAAUGCAUUUAGGUGCAGCGUCGUAUGUAGGUUUGCUGGAGGUAGAGCUACUGGAUGGCUGAUGGGCCCCACCGGGUUACUGACGUCAACCAAACUCCGAAUGCCAGUGAAAUUUUUGUGCGGCAGUGAGACUGCGGGGGAUAAGCUUCGUAGUCGAGAGGGAAACAGCCCAGAUCAUCAGCUAAGGCCCCUAAGCGUGUGCUAAGUGGGAAAGGAUGUGGAGUUGCAUAGACAACCAGGAGGUUGGCUUAGAAGCAGCCACCCUUGAAAGAGUGCGUAAUAGCUCACUGGUCAAGUGAUUCUGCGCCGAUAAUGUAGCGGGGCUAAGUACACCGCCGAAGCUGUGACAAUGACACAUUGUGUUGUUGGGUAGGGGAGCGUCGUGCACUGCGAUGAAGCGGCCAAGUGAUUGUGUCGUGGAGUGUGUACGAGUGAGAAUGCAGGCAUGAGUAACGAAUGACGGGUGAGAAACCCGUCCGCCGAAUGACCAAGGGUUCCAGGGCCAGGUUAAUCCGCCCUGGGUAAGUCGGGACCUAAGGCGAGGCCGUCAGGCGUAGUCGAUGGACAAGGAGUUGAUAUUCUCCUACCGGCAAAGCACCGCCCGUACCGAGCCCAGUGAUGCUAAGCACCCAAGACUGCUAUCGUCUCCUUCGGGAGGUGGUGGUGGUUGCGCGUGUGACCCGAUCUGGUAGUAGGUAAGCGUAGUAACAGGGGUGACGCAGGAAGGUAGCCCGGCGCACUUAAUGGCAAUGUGUGUCUAAGGAUGUAGCACGAGGUGUAGGCAAAUCCGCGCCUCAUAUAAGUGUGAGAUCUGAUGGUGGCCCCAUUUUUGGGGGAUAACAGGGUGAUCCUAUGCUGCCGAGAAAAGCCUCGACGCGAGGUGUGAGCCGCCCGUACCCUAAACCGACUCAGGUGGUCAAGUAGAGAAUACUAAGGCGAUCGAGAUAAUCAUGGUUAAGGAACUCGGCAAAAUGCCCCCGUAACUUUGGAAGAAGGGGGGCCCGCCUGGUGAAAACCCUUUUACGGGUUUAGCUGGUGUGGGCCGCAGAGACCAGGGAGAAGCGACUGUUUAUCAAAAACAUAGGUCCGUGCGAAGUCGCAAGACGCUGUAUACGGACUGACGCCUGCCCGGUGCUGGAAGGUUAAGAGGACCGGUUAAUCACGCCUUGUGUGUGGUGAAGCUGAGAAUUUAAGCCCCAGUAAACGGCGGUGGUAACUAUAACCAUCCUAAGGUAGCGAAAUUCCUUGUCGGGUAAGUUCCGACCUGCACGAAUGGCGUAACGACUUCUCCGCUGUCUCAACCAUGAACUCGGUGAAAUUGCACUACGAGUAAAGAUGCUCGUUUCGCGCAGCAGGACGGAAAGACCCCGGGACCUUUACUAUAGCUUGGUAUUGGUGUUCGAUGCGGUUUGUGUAGGAUAGGUGGGAGACUGUGAAGCAUCCACGUCAGUGGGUGUGGAGUCAUCGUUGAAAUACCACUCUGAUCGUAUUGAAUGUCUAACCUCGGUCCGUGAUCCGGAUCAGGGACAGUGCCUGGUGGGUAGUUUAACUGGGGCGGUUGCCUCCUAAAGAGUAACGGAGGCGCUCAAAGGUUCCCUCAGCCUGGUUGGUAAUCAGGUGUUGAGUGUAAGUGCACAAGGGAGCUUGACUGUGAGACGGACGUGUCGAACAGGGACGAAAGUCGGAACUAGUGAUCCGGCCAUGGCUUGUGGAAGCGUGGUCGCUCAACGGAUAAAAGGUACCCCGGGGAUAACAGGCUGAUCUUGCCCAAGAGUUCAUAUCGACGGCAUGGUUUGGCACCUCGAUGUCGGCUCGUCACAUCCUGGGGCUGGAGUAGGUCCCAAGGGUUGGGCUGUUCGCCCAUUAAAGUGGUACGCGAGCUGGGUUCAGAACGUCGUGAGACAGUUCGGUCCCUAUCCGCUGCGCGCGCAGGAAACUUGAGAAGGGCUGUCCCUAGUACGAGAGGACCGGGACGGACGAACCUCUGGUGUGCCAGUUGUACCGCCAGGUGCAUGGCUGGUUAGCUACGUUCGGUAAGGAUAACCGCUGAAAGCAUCUAAGCGGGAAGCCUGCUUCAAGAUAAGGUUUCCAUCCACCA